rnacentral:lncRNA from 1 species
GAACAUUCCAGGCUCUGUGAACUAAGUGACUGAAGCUGAUUGACACAGGUCAAGGGGACUUCAAGGAAGAAAGCCAGCCUUAGACUGACAUCAGAGAACCAAACUCCGGUGUCUAAGCUCAAGCUUCACCUUGUCACGACAGUCCUCGCCAGGGACAGCUGAGCAUCUACAUCUCCAUUUAUGCCGUGUGCACGCAGUACCAACAGAGGUCAGAGGAGGGUGUCGGAUCCCCUGGAACUGGAGUCACAGAUUCUUCCUUGCGUGGAUGAAACAGUCCCAACGAACACUUUAAAAAGACAAAUGUUCCCGACAGCACUGGUUGAAUUCAAAACUCGGCAGAUCCAUGUUCUUAUCCUUAGACAAGAGAGGGGCCAUAACAAGAUGGAAUGACGGAACAGACGUGAGAGAUGAUGGUACAGUGACUCGGGUAACCCCAGAAAAGGGACAGCUCUUCUACAGCUCAGUGGGGACAGGGACAAAAAGAAACAAUUUCAUUUCAGUCCACCCAGAGGGUCUGCACUUCUCGGAGCCAGAAGGUGGAGAAGAGUAGGGAUGGAGGAAGUUCGAAGUUUUAGGAGUCUGCUCUUGGGUCCCUAGGCAUGAGGACAAGCUUUUCCUGUACUCAAUGCUCAUCUCUCAGUUGUGCCCACAUUGGUACACAUUACUUGCUUUCAACUGCUGCUGCUGCUGUUUCCUAAUUCAAUAAAGAUAUGGCUGGCUCAGCAGAGAGCUGUCAUCCA